UCUUCCACAAUGGACGAAAGUCUGAUGGAGCAAUGCCGCGGGAGUGAAGAAGGGUUUCGGCUCGUAAAUCUCUGUUGUUAGAGAAGAACGGACGUGAGAGUAACUGCUCACGUCGCGACGGUAUCUAACAAGAAAGUCACGGCUAACUACGUGCCAGCAGCCGCGGUAAUACGUAGGUGGCAAGCGUUGUUCGGAUUUAUUGGGCGUAAAGCGAGCGCAGGCGGUCUUCUAAGUCUGAUGUGAAAGCCUUCGGCUUAACCGGAGAAGUGCAUCGGAAACUGGGAAACUUGAGUGCAGAAGAGGACAGUGGAACUCCAUGUGUAGCGGUGAAAUGCGUAGAUAUAUGGAGGAACACCAGUGGCGAAGGCAGCUGUCUAGUCUGUAACUGACGCUGAGGCUCGAAAGCAUGGGUAGCAAACAG
rnacentral:rRNA from 1 species